rnacentral:tRNA from 1 species
AUAAAAAUUAGUUAAUAAAUAAUAUUAGCUUGUCAAGCUAAAGUAAUCUCCCAGAUAUUUUUA